AUUGAACGCUGGCGGUAGGCCUAACACAUGCAAGUCGAACGGCAGCACAGUAAGAGCUUGCUCUUAUGGGUGGCGAGUGGCGGACGGGUGAGGAAUACAUCGGAAUCUACCUUUUCGUGGGGGAUAACGUAGGGAAACUUACGCUAAUACCGCAUAAGACCUUCGGGUGAAAGCCGGGGACCUUCGGGCCUGGCGCGGAUAGAUGAGCCGAUGUCGGAUUAGCUAGUUGGGGGGGUAAAGGCCCACCAAGGCGACGAUCCGUAGCUGGUCUGAGAGGAUGAUCAGCCACACUGGAACUGAGACACGGUCCAGACUCCUACGGGAGGCAGCAGUAGGGAAUAUUGGACAAUGGGCAAAGCCUGAUCCAGCAAUGCCGCGUGAGUGAUGAAGGCCUUAGGGUUGUAAAGCUCUUUUACCCGAGAUGAUAAUGACAGUAUCGGAGAAUAAGCUCCGGCUAACUCCGUGCCAGCAGCCGCGGUAAGAGUGUGUGUA
rnacentral:rRNA from 1 species